GAUAAAGUGGCUGAUAAAAGCAAUAAACUGUAAAUUUAUUUAUGAACUAAGUUCCUUUAUCA
rnacentral:tRNA from 1 species